AUUGAACGCUGGCGGCAGGCCUAACACAUGCAAGUCGAGCGGAUGAAGGGAGAGUUCUCCUGUCUUCAGUGACCGACGGGCGGGUAAUGCCUACGAAGCUGCCUGGCAGAGGGGGAUAACGUCCGGUCAGGGGAGCUAAUCUAGCAUCCGUUAUGAUUGUGAACGUGGUGGUUCUUCGGUCCUCGAGCUUUUUGAUGAGCCUAGGUCGGAUUAGCUAGUUGGUUGGGUAAAGGCCUACCAAGGCGACUAUCCGUAACUGGUCUGAGAGGAUGAUCAGUCACACUGGAACUGAGACACGGUCCAGACUCCUACGGGAGGCAGCAGUGGGGAAUAUUGGACAAUGGGCGAAAGCCUGAUCCAGCAAUGCCGCGUGUGUGAAGAAGGUCUUCGGAUUGUAAAGCACUGUUAGUUGGGAGGAAGGGCAGUAAGAUAAUACCUUGCUGUUUUGACGUUACCAACAGAAUAAGCACCGGCUAACUACGUG
rnacentral:rRNA from 1 species